rnacentral:rRNA from 1 species
AUGAACGCUGGCGGCGUGCCUAAUACAUGCAAGUCGAGCGAACAGACGAGGAGCUUGCUCCUCUGACGUUAGCGGCGGACGGGUGAGUAACACGUGGAUAACCUACCUAUAAGACUGGGAUAACUUCGGGAAACCGGAGCUAAUACCGGAUAAUAUAUUGAACCGCAUGGUUCAAUAGUGAAAGACGGUUUUGCUGUCACUUAUAGAUGGAUCCGCGCCGCAUUAGCUAGUUGGUAAGGUAACGGCUUACCAAGGCAACGAUGCGUAGCCGACCUGAGGGGGUGAUCGGCCACACUGGAACUGAGACACGGUCCAGACUCCUACGGGAGGCAGCAGUAGGGAAUCUACCGCAAUGGGCGAAAGCCUGACGGAGCAACGCCGCGUGAGUGAUGAAGGUCUUCGGAUCGUAAAACUCUGUUAUUAGGGAAGAACAAAUGUGUAAGUAACUAUGCACGUCUUGACGGUACCUAAUCAGAAAGCCACGGCUAACUACGUG